UAAUACAUGCAAGUCGAGGGGUAGGGUUAGCUUGCUGACCUGAGACCGGCGCACGGGUGCGUAACGCGUAUGCAACCUACCUUCAUCAGGGGGAUAGCCCGGAGAAAUCCGGAUUAACACCGCAUGAAAUCACAGAACGGCAUCGUUCAAUGAUCAAACAUUUAUGGGAUGGAGAUGGGCAUGCGUGUCAUUAGUUAGUUGGCGGGGUAACGGCCCACCAAGACCGCGAUGACUAGGGGAUCUGAGAGGAUGGCCCCCCACACUGGUACUGAGACACGGACCAGACUCCUACGGGAGGCAGCAGUAAGGAAUAUUGGUCAAUGGGCGAGAGCCUGAACCAGCCAUGCCGCGUGCAGGAAGACGGCCCUCUGGGUUGUAAACUGCUUUUAUUCGGGAAUAAACCUACUUACGUGUAAGUAGCUGAAUGUACCGAAGGAAUAAGGAUCGGCUAACUCCGUGCCAGCAGCCGCGGUAAUACGGAGGAUCCAAGCGUUAUCCGGAUUUAUUGGGUUUAAAGGGUGCGUAGGCGGCCUGUUAAGUCAGGGGUGAAAGACGGUAGCUCAACUAUCGCAGUGCCCUUGAUACUGAUGGGCUUGAAUGGACUAGAGGUAGGCGGAAUGUGACAAGUAGCGGUGAAAUGCAUAGAUAUGUCACAGAACACCGAUUGCGAAGGCAGCUUACUAUGGUCUUAUUGACGCUGAGGCACGAAAGCGUGGGGAUCAAACAGGAU
rnacentral:rRNA from 1 species